rnacentral:tRNA from 2 species
GGGGCGGUAGCUCAGCUGGGAGAGCACCUGCUUUGCAAGCAGGGGGUCACCGGUUCGAUCCCGGUCCGCUCCA